UCAAAAUGUGUGUAUUUGUUAGAACAAACGUGGCCGGAAAGACUGUACAAGAAAUGAUAUGUCACAGCCCGUGACUUUUUUUGGAUCAGUGAUUUUUAUGUUGGUGAACUUAUUUCGGGGUCAAAAAUACUACAAAAGUAACAAGCAGCGGUGGCCAUAGCAUUUGCAGAAGAAGCAGCUGAAAAGAGAAGCUGCAUCCAUAAAGGCUCACUAACACGACUACCUAAACAUGAGCUGAGUGUGAAGGAGAGCAAGGCAUGUUCAUGUGGACAGGAGAACUCCCAGGAGGCCUCAAUCAUCCACAAAGACUAAUGAGCAACGUAGAAAUGCUGAGAGGAAGAGAAAUCGUCUCCUCCCAGGGACUUCCGGAGACUAGGAAAACAAUGUAAAAGAGGUUUCAAAUCAUGAGUGUACACAGUUGCCCUCUUCAGACAAGCCAGAAGAGGGCAUUGGAUUCCAUGGCAGAUGGUUGUGAGCCACCAUGUGGUUGAUGGAAAUUGAACUCAGGAACUCUUGAAGAGCAGUCAGUGUGCUUAACUGCUGAACCCUCUCUGCAGCCCAGAAUUCCAUUUCUAAAGAGUCCAGUUAGAGUUGCCAGUAAGUGCACAGAUACAGUGUCCUCUGGUAGAGCAUAAAAACUUGCCAGUGACUACACCUUGAAAAGAUGAACUCUCCAUCCCAGAGUGCCAGGAGCUCCUCAGUUUGGGGCAGGGCCUCAAAGCUCCUUCCCCAUCGAUACUGACUUGUUGAGCAGCUUGUUCUAGAGCAGGUCCUGUCCAGGCAACUACUUUAUACUUACACAGGAGAGGUCCUUUCACGUCCAGAAAACAAUGAUUCAUCACAGUCCUCCCUGACCGACUGCUCUUACAGCGUUCCCUCUCUCUCUUCAGUGACAUCUCUUGAGCCUUCCAGAUUAUCACCAUCGUUUUAUACAAUGAAGAAAUUACAAGAAGUGCAUGCCGACAGGAGCCUGAUAUAGCUGUCUCCGGAGAGGCUCUGCCAGAG
rnacentral:sRNA from 1 species